rnacentral:ncRNA from 17 species
AAAGUACAAUGAGUAGUAUAUAGUGCUUGUGCCUUGAUUGAGGAGAUUCCGGUUCGAAUCCAGGCUAUUGUGCUAGCAUCUAGGGAACUAGGUGCUUUUAUGA